ACUAUGUGUCACACUCAUAGCCUUCCGGAGUUGGGAACCGGGACAGUUGUUAGCUGUGCUGGUGUAAACAUUAAAUGUACAGUGGCGUGUUUUCUUUUGGUGGUUAAUGGGCCUGUUCACAGACUAAACUGUCCAAGUUCCCAUGUGCUGUAUGUAGCAGCAGAUGCUCUCCAAGUAGCGUGACCCUUCCCCCUGAAGCUGUCUGACUGAUCCUGUCAUCAGCUGGUUGAACUACAGCUUCUGUGACUGGCAGCAGAGCAGGAUGUCAGACAGCGGGAACCAGUCCUGUCUGAUGGGAGCAGAGGACACGGUCUCCUUCCUGGUGUGUUUGUUUCGAGAAUGGGAAGAGUGGGCCGGCCUUGGUCAGGUGGAGGACUAUCUGAGUGUUUUGGAGUACUUGGUGUGGGUCUUCACCCCUCUGGCCAUCGUCUUCAUAUUGCCCUUCCUCAUCGUCAUCCUUCUUUACCUCUCUAUACUCUUCCUUCAUGUCUAUAAGAGGAAGAAUCAGCUGAGGGAAGCUUACUGCAACAAUCUGUGGGAUGGAGCCAGGAAGACCCUGGCAACUCUGUGGGACGGACAUGGAGCCAUAUGGCAUGGCUACGAGAUACAUGGGAUGGAGAAGAUCCCUGAUGAAGGACCAGCACUGAUAGUGUACUAUCAUGGAGCCAUUCCUGUAGACUACUAUUACUUUCUGGCCAAUGUUAUCAUCCAGAAGGGACGGACCUGCCACUCUGUAGCUGACCAUUUCCUCUUCAAGGUCCCAGGUUUCAAGCUACUGUUGGAGGUGUUCAGUGUAAUCCAUGGUCCUCAGGAGGAGUGUGUGCGGGCUCUGAGGAACGGCGACCUGUUAGGGAUUUCUCCAGGAGGAGUGCGGGAGGCUCUGUUCAGUGAUGAGACCUACCCUCUUCUCUGGGGCAAACGCAAAGGCUUCGCCCAGGUCGCCAUCGACUCUCAAGUGCCAAUAAUUCCAAUGUUUACUCAAAAUGUGCGAGAAGGCUUCAGAUCUCUGGGAACACUCAGGUUUUUCCGCUGGGUGUAUGACAGGUUUCGUCUCCCUAUAGCUCCUGUUUAUGGUGGAUUUCCUGUGAAGUUUCGGACCUUUCUUGGUGAUCCCAUCCCAUAUGACCCCAACAUAAACGCUGCAGAGCUGGCAGAGAAAGUCCAGCAUGCAGUCCAGUCUCUGAUAGACCAGCACCAGCAGAUACCGGGGAACAUCCUGAGAGCCUUGUUGGAAAGAUUUCACACCAAACACAAAGACCAUUAACAUCAACAGUCCAGCAGUCCAUCGUGUGACUAAAACAACCCGUCACAUCGGCUCAGGCGGCUGCAGUGUGCACAGACCAGGACCCACCCGGCUGCCGUCUGGAGAUACGGACGUAUUCGCUGACUUCAGAGCAGUUUCUUUCCCCAGGCUGUGAGACUCCUCCAUUCCUCCUCUACAUGCCACCAUAAAUAAUGGUUUUCUGUUUGGUUUUGUGUAAAAUGAGGGGACACCUUACAGCUUUGCGUUUCGUUGUACAACCUGGUGUUGUUUAAUGAUAAAUAAAUGAACCUUGAACCUUGAAUAUAGACAUGCAGUUAAUGGUAAUGUUUUAUUCUUCUGACUUACUCUCUUAGGACGUGUCUUCAUAGGAUAUGAAAGGGAAAUCUAAUUUGGUAGUAUAAUUAAAUGGAAGGGGGUGGUGAAUUAUAGAGACAUGUUCUACAGUACCUUCUGACUGACUGAAUCUUACACUGCCAGUGACUGGCUAAUAGUUUCUGGGACAGUUUGCAGGAGCUUUUUCCAAUAUAUUUACCAUUAUAGAAUUGACACAGAGGCUGGACAAACACCUGGCGAUGAAAUUCAAUCCAAUAUAAUUCCAUUUUUUGGUGAGACUGUCAAAGAGGUGUUGAUUCAUUUCUUGGUUAUCUGUGAAGCUGUAGUUUAUGUUGUGUAUUUAAUUCGAUUGUAAGGUCUUCCUAUUAUUUUGUCCAUGGUUGCACAAAUAUCUUGGUAUUUCCAGAUAUUCAGAAUUAACCAAAUCACAGACCCAUCGUAAAUAACUCGUGGAAUGAUUAAUUCAACUUAGAAGAUACACCGGAAAGCUUUAAAUUCUGCUGAAAUAAUUUAUUAAGCAAGGGAUUAUCUUUGAGGUGUACCUUGAACCAGACUGAUCAGUAUCAGAACAUGUGAUGUUGCUUGCUUCAAAUUGUAACACCUUUUCCUAUUGGCUUUAAAAAUAAGAGCAACCAUCUUAAUUUGAAACUAUUAGAUGGUCAACGUAAAAUGAAUCAACAUGAUUGGAAAGCAUGAAGUGUGAGGAUUUGCUGCUUCUCUCUUUUUUAUAAUAUUGGACUGUAAGUCAGACAAAACAUUUGAAGACAGUACCUUGCUCUCUGGGAACUUAUGAUUACCAUAAUUUGUUGACAUUUAAAUUGAUUAAUUUAAAGAAAAAAAUAAUGAUAUCUAUCAUUGGCUGUAGCCCGACAAAUAGCAGUGGACUUUGUUGUGCCUUGACUCUGAAAAUGCCAAAGUUGAUUUGAUUUUGAUUUUAUUGGACAGUAACACAAAUAAAUACAUAAAAAGAUGCCAACACAGUGACAGUACAAAUCUAUCAGAACUGUCAAGGAUAACACAAAAAAGUUACAAACUUAUGUUCAUUGUGGUCCUCGUUGUAGUCUGAUAAAGAAAGCAAGGCAAGCCAAGGAUGACUAAAAGUACCCCAUACAAUCAACCCUUAAAAUGAGCUGAUAAGUUGUAGAUUAUUUGUUAGAGUUGAUGCAGUAGGUGCCUUUUGUCAGUCAAUGAAACUUCACGUGAUUGAUAGGACUAUAUUUAGUUAAAGAGGGAGAUAUAUGCACUUAACAAAUAUACAGAGAAGUUCAAAAUGUAUUAAAAUAAAACAAGAUGACUGAAAACAAUAAAAUAGAUAAACAGUGUUAAUGAGCCAUAGCCAGACUAAAAAGGCAAAUAUUUUAAUUCAGCUCUAAGCUAAAGGAUGGUACCAAAUGGUUUACACUUUGGAAUAACUGGUACAUACAAAAGCAUUUCGAGAAGGCAGGUAUAAUGCAGUGAAAAGAUUUUGAAGCAACCAAUGCGAGGAAUGUAAAAUAAUUUGUGCUGUCCUUCUGGCCUGGAGAGAUGACUUCACUUUAGCAGUUUUCAGAAAGAGAGAGAGCAGAUUUGAUUUCAAAUCCCCUUUUUAAACAUCAUUCCCUUAAACCUUCAUUAGACGCCUAUUGAUGUUAUUAUUCUUAUGCAUUAUUGUCUAGGGUUUUUUUAUAUAUUUUUUUGGCACAGAUGCAGUUUUGGUGGGGAAAAACUACAUCCUGAUAUUCAUGUGUUGAUAGUUUUUACAGAAAUCUUCACCACUAGUACUAACCAAAUAUUAUCAACAUGUACAGUCACUUCUGCCAGAGAGUGUACAACACAGAAGAACUGAAAUUAAUGGCAAAUAGAAAUGUCUCAAGCUGAAUUUAAGUACAUAACAUCUAACCAAAUGAUCACUAUUGGAGAACUUGUUUUGCGCUUCAUUCUGAUUUCUAUAUUUUUCUGUGUGUGUGUGUGUGUGUGUGUGUGAGCAAACAAAACUGAGCCUUUUACCUUGACAGAUACUGACCACCAAAACCUCAGUGUCCCCUUACAAAACUCAAGUAUCUUCUCGCUGUAAUAUUUAUCAUAUCAGUACAAAUACUGAUCUAUCACUUUAUUACUGCAUAGUUUGUGUGUAUAAACAUACUAUGCAGCAAUAAAGAUAAUGAUCUAAAAAUAAAUAAUGAUGUAAUAUGAUCAUAUUUAUCAUUGUCGGUGCUUAAUCAGCAGUGUUGUAAAUCAAAUAAACUAAUCAUUUAUCAUUUACAAAUUGUGGGUUGGAGAUUAAGUGUAAUAGUCUGUGUGUUUUAACAUAUUUAUAUAUAUUUGCAUGUAUAAGUAUGUAAAUAUGAUUCAACAAGGUAUUUUGCACUAAGUCUUCAAAGUAUCACUGCCAACUGUGAUUUUAUUUUUCAUUUUUAAAGACGCCUUUUGUGAGACCAAGUGUGUUUUUGAGAUAUCUAACUGCAUGCUUUACUGCUGUUGCCUUCUUUCUUUCUUUAUGUUGUUAGUUUUGAGAUGACCUAACAUAUAUUUGUAAUUUGUGUCAAUAUAAUAUAAAUGUUGCACUUUUAAAUAUUGAGAUCCCAUCAAUCUGUUAAUAAAUCUAUUUUAUUAAGA